UGAUUUAGUAGCUUAAGUACUGAGGAAGAAAGUAAGUAGCUUUCGAAAUACGUAUUUACUAACUAUUAAAAUAUAUUGUAGUAGGAGCAAGCUACCUAGUUUUAUUUUUAUUUAGAGAUAGUUGUUAAUCGAUUCAAAACUCAAAUUAUCCUAAAGGGGUCUAAAGAGACUGAAAUGGAAUAUCCAUUUAGGAAUAGAAGGAUAUUGGCGGAUAAAUCGGAUCUAAAGAAUGGUAACGUCAACGCUAUAUUAAGGCGAUACAAUAGUAAAGGGAAAAUAGCCAUUGACUCGUAUCUCAACGAUCAUGAAUACAACAAACUACAGCAAAUCAUAUGUAAUUAAUCUAUUUAGAGAUAUCAAGAUAACAAGAUAACAAAAUUUGUCAAAUGUACAUUUUCAGAGGAACUGAAUAUACAAAUUUCCAUAUUCCACAAGAAUGAGACAGGUCAAAUUUUACCACCCAAAGCUGAAAGGAGCCGUACAUCAAAUUAUUAAUAAUUGUGAUAUCUGUGCAGGAGCCAAGCACGACAGAAAUCCCAUGAUUAAGAAACACCCUCAACAGUUAACGAAAUUGUGCACAUCGCCCUCUACUUCAUACAUUUGUCAAUUUCAUUGACCGAUUUUCUAAGCAUGUAAUUACCUUCUACUUAGAAGAUAGAAAUAGCAUAACACUUCCAGAAAGAAUAAAACAAUAUUUACCUAUUAAAGGCAAAAUCAAACAAAUUGUUUUUGGUAAUGAAUUUAUUGCAAUCAAUAUAAAGAACUUUCUGAAAGAAGAAUAUAUUAAAAUUUCACAAAACCUAAUAGCCAUGCUGGAAACACCGAUAUUGAGUGUUUCCAUGGGACAAUUGGUGAACGUAUAAGGGUCCUAAACCUGGAAGAAAGAUUACCCAUACGUAUCCAGACGCUGUAAAAUACGAUAAUUGUACAUAGCAUUUGACACUAAAAUCUACCCCUCUAGGAGUCCAAGAGCAUUAAAUUAUAUACCAAAAGAUUAGAAAACUAAAGCAAGGAGUAAUAAAUGAAAUAAACAAAGAAAGAGAAGACUAUACAGAAACUAGAGAGAAGGUUUCAUAAAAAAUUACAAAUUUCUUAGACAUAAGGAAGAACCAAAGUUUAUAAGAAAUAAACUUCAGAAUGUAAUAUUAAGAGACCUUUAAGGUUUAACAACCAUUCGAAGGAACAUAACGCCAACAGGGAAAUAAGCUCAGAAGAGGACGAAUUUCCACAUAUAAAUCCAAAGUAAAUCUUAUACAAAAGACGAUUUACGAAAGCUCACAAGAUGAGAUUUUAAUCGUAGUGAAAAUGAAAGAGCUGAACACUUCAAGAAAGUGUAUAUAAUGGCAAUAUUUUUCGUAGAAGGACUUUUACAGUCCGGUUAUGAAGCUGUUAAGAGAUGGAUCCGAAAAGUUAGUAUCUUUUCCUUCGAUGUUAUACUGAUCCCGCACCAUGUUGAUCAAUCUUAUUAGUGUCUGGCUACUAUCAACUUUAAAGAAAAAACAACUACAACUCUGUGGGGUACCAAAAUACAAGCCUACUCCCAGGGUUAGCUGAUUAUUAAAAUUUCGAAUCGUUAGCUAAACGAAAAACCUCUUUCGACACAUCAGAGUUCAUCAAAGAAAACGUCCAAGGGAUCCCACCACAAACAAGUGUAAUCUCUUUUGUUGUAUAUAUGCAGAACACAUAAUCCAAAAUCAUAAAACAGUUUUCUCUCAAAAGAAUAUACCCUAUUUCCGACAAAGAAUCAUUUUAGUUAUAGUACAAGGGAAAAUAAUUUCACCCAAUAAUGAAUCCCAACUUUCAGGUACUAAUUGCGACAGGGAUUCACAUAUUACUGUUUCCACACACACUAUAAAUUAGCGACGAAUUCAAUAUAACCGUUAACCUUCUUAAAAACGCAAUGGAAUCAGAUCGUGAAAGGAUCUUAGUAAAAUAUAAUCAAAUACACAGAUUAGAAGAAAGUCAUUCAUUUCAAAACUUAUUCCUUGACCUAACGAUCCGGUUAGAUGUGAUAAAAAGACGAGUUGAAAACAUUCAGGAUAAUAUUGUAUAUAUUUGAUCUCAGUAUAUUUAUCGAUGGAGAGAUUAAAACUUAUGAUAUGACAAACUUGGUAAUAUAAAAUAAGCAAAUAAGAAGCUCAUAUUCACUAUUGCAAAUUCACAGAGCAAACAAACAGAUCAAUAAUUGGAAUAUAUUGUUGAAAUUCAGAAUAAAGUAUAUUCGUACUAACAGGGAAAGUCACUUAAGGAACUUCCAUUAAGCAGAGACUAUAUUUGGAAAUUUUUUUAGAUAAUUUAGUCCUAAGAUCAUCAUCUUCAAAGGGUUUACAUCGUUUUUAUAAAAAUCUAUAGUUGUGUAAUUAAAGUUAGUCAUCAAUAGUGAAGCGUUGUUUUCUUUCAUUUUAUUGUUUUAUAUGUUAAAUAACUUCAACAUAAAACUCGUGCGAGUUACGAAUAGCGGGCUUGCGCUAUUCAAAACGAUAAAUUUUAAAAGUCUCUUCCGCGAGACUUAUUAUUCGAAACGCCACUUUUAUGAAUUUAAAAGCACUUUAUUAUAAACUUCGAAUAACACUGGUAUUCUACUUAAUACUAUAUCCCGGAACUAAGUAUUACUAUAAGAACUGAAUUACAAUAACCCGACUCGACUUCAAUAUAAUGAGAACUGAGAACUAAGUCUGUCCAAUGUUGGGAUGAGUUCUAUAUUUAUAGGGUUCCGGACAAAGGAUGCAAAAUGCUGAUAGUGCAUUUUGCAUAUUUUGUAAUACGAUAUUUUAAUUACGCGAUAAUCUUCAUUUGAUCUAGUUUGUUUAUAGAUCGAAUGAAUUCAUCCAUUGUUUGAAAUGAUGAAAUAGUGAUGACUCAUCGUAUUGAAGAUACGAAUUGGAUAUUGGACAAGAUAAGAUGAUGAGUCAUAUGAUAUUGAAUAGAUCGAUGUUUACAUUAUUUAAGGGAUGUUUACAUAUGAACUUAGGUUAGUGUUUACAUUGGUUAAGGAUGUUUAUAUAUGUACUUAUAUUACUGAUGAUAUGGACUGAUGUCAUCAUCUGGAUUAUUGGUGAAGGUGACCUUGGGGUUAGGUACAAGUGUACUUGGUGUACUUAUGUUAAUGGGUGUAAGGUCCUGUAUAACUCCUCCCACCUUAAGUAUAUUGUUGUCCUCAACAAUUUUUAUUUUAUUUAGUUCUAUUUCUGGUUCUAUUUGUUUAUUAUUUAUGAAUUUUAUUUUUAUAUUAUUUCUUUUGUAAAAACGAAUUGCAAUGUAUGAUAUGAUUACUAUGACAAUGAUUAUUAUAAUUGAUCCAAAUGUUA